rnacentral:lncRNA from 1 species
CCCUGGAACUAGGAUCUCGGUGUGCCAACUAAUGCAUUUCUCCCAGCAGUGCAUCCCGUGAAGAAACAGACUCCUAGAGAUUAACAUCCUACCUGAGGUCAUUUAUGAAAUGAACUUUGGAUCAAGUGUGAUAUGCAAAAUUCCAAGGACUGUUUGAUACAUUCUGCAAGUUGCCCCCCAAAGAACGUUACAGUGUGACACUCCUUCCUCUAGUGCCUUGGCACAAGUUGCCAUAAACAUUUUGAAUCAAUUCAGGACGUCGAAGCAGCACUAAAAAGACACCAAGAGGACUGCACACCUGCUUCAGAAGGUGGUAAGAAUGAUGGGGUGAGUUUGUUCAAAGUGUUCAAGGGGAAUUCAUGGCAAUGUGUCUUU